GAAGGAGAAAGUCCCGCCAAGGGAUGAGUAAAGUGGCGCACGGGUGAGUAACACGUAGGUAACCUGCCUUCCAGUGGGGGAUAACCUGGGGAAACUCGGGCUAAUACCGCAUAACAUCCGGGUUGCACAAGCAGCUUGGAGCAAAGGCCCGCAAGGCCCGCUGGAGGAGGGGGCUGCGGCCGAUUAGCUAGUUGGUGAGGUAAUGGCCUACCAAGGCUAAGAUCGGUAGCCGGCCUGAGAGGGCACACGGCCACACUGGCACUGAAACACGGGCCAGACUCCUACGGGAGGCAGCAGUGGGGAAUCUUGCACAAUGGGGGAAACCCUGAUGCAGCGACGCCGCGUGAGCGAUGAAGCCCUUACGGGGUGUAAAGCUCUUUCGGCAGGGAAGAUGAUGACGGUACCUGCAGAAGCAGCUGCGGCUAACUACGUG
rnacentral:rRNA from 1 species